rnacentral:lncRNA from 1 species
AACGUUUUCACAUUUUUCCAUUCUAAGUUUCUCUCUAAAAUCUUGUUUGCCAUUAGGCUCCAAGUUCCUGAAAAUCUUUCUAUUUAUGGGGAUACAACUGCUUUCUCCCACAUUUAAGUGAGAGAGAAUCAGCUGCUAGGUGUGAGCUGCUGACCUGCUGAACGGGCUGAUGGAUUGUUCUGGUGCAGAGCCAUCUCUGGGUGCUGCCCUGCUCUUCAGUUCGUUUGUGGGUUUGUGCUUGCACAGGAGGAAAAAAAUUAAUUUGGUGAAGUUAAGAAAGAAGAGUUCCUUUCAGGAGGUUCUGGGAGCACUGUUGCUCAGGGCAUGAGGAAUGAAUUGAGCAGAAGGAACACGGGCAAUCCUAAUGGCUCUACGUGGCACACACACACCUCCUUGCUGCUUGUACUGCCUUGCAACUCACAUGCAUGCUCCUUCCCAAUGCCUCACAAUGCAAUGCCUCACACCAGGCACUGACGCUCUUCCUUUCCAACUACAGGGAAGGACAUGGAUUUUCCGUACCACCGAGGCCAGGCUUCCUGUCUCUUUUAAGAGCAAAGCUGCGUGCAUCGCUGAAGGUGGCCAGCAAGCAAAACUAUACAAGUUCCUGUGGGUCAGUUGUCCAACACUGAAGGACAGAAAGAGAGAAGAUGGCCCCAAAUCCUCUUGAAACAAAGGUAAUUUAAAGAGUUAGGAAAGCUUUAUUCAGUGCCGGGCACUGAACACUGCAUUUCUCUGCAGCUUCUUGCAAAAGUAGGACUUCUACUGAAGAAAUUUAAACACAAGCAUAUUGUGCCCCUUAUCUAAUCUUGAAAUAUUUUUUGCACAUAAUCACAAUUUGUGAUCAACAAUUUCACUGAAGACAGAAAAUGUUAUUUCUGAAGCCCAGAAAGGGAAAAUAGCUUCCCUACAGUAAUCCUAGAGGUCAGUGGCAAAGCCUGAAGCAUACCGUACUUUACCAAAGCCCUGUCAGAGAGAAAGCUUUAUUUUAAUUCCCAGUACAUGGCUGAGUUUUGCUUUGCUAACUAGUGGUAAAGCAUUUGCUCUAAUGAGACUGGAAUCAGUGCAGGUUAAAGGCACUAAGUUCAAGCAGUCCCACCAGGCAGUGCUUUGGCACUUCUUUGGCAACCUCCACAAGCACGUAGUGUGCCAGGAUCUACUCGAUCUGAUAGAUCAGGCACAACCAGCAUCUUCAAGAGUACAAGCAACGCAGGCAGUACCUCUUACCUGUACAAGGACUUUCUAUCAGGAGACCAGAACAGAAAUGCGUAGAUGUGAACAGCUAUGGAAUAAAGUGAACCACCUUCAGGGGAGCUUCGUGAGU